rnacentral:rRNA from 1 species
GACGAACGCUGGCGGCGUGCUUAACACAUGCAAGUCGAACGGAAAGGCCUCUUUCGGGGGGUACUCGAGUGGCGAACGGGUGAGUAACACGUGAGUAACCUGCCCUUGACUUUGGGAUAACUUCAGGAAACUGGGGCUAAUACCGGAUAGGAGCUCCUGCUGCCUGGUGGGGGUUGGAAAGUUUCGGCGGGUGGGGGUGGACUCGCGGCUUAUCAGCUUCUUGGUGGGGUAGUGGCUUACCAAGGCUUUGGCGGGUAGCCGGCCUGAGAGGGUGUCGGGCAACGUUGGGACUGAGACAGGGGCCAGCAGCGGAGGGGAGGGCACAGUGGGGAAAAGUCAGAAGGGGGGGAGACGCGGGAGGGAGAGCGCCCGUUGGGGGGUAACGCCCUUUGGUUAGUAAACCGGUUCUGCCCAUGAUGAGGGUUUGUUGAAGGUAGGUGGAUAAAAAACGCCCGCUAAAUAAGUG